rnacentral:rRNA from 1 species
GUCGAGCGCGCCUUCGGGUGAGCGGCGGACGGGUUAGUAACGCGUGGGAACGUGCCCUUCUCUACGGAAUAGCCUCUGGAAACGGAGAGUAAUACCGUAUACGCCCUUUGGGGGAAAGAUUUAUCGGAGAAGGAUCGGCCCGCGUUAGAUUAGGUAGUUGGUGGGGUAACGGCCUACCAAGCCUACGAUCUAUAGCUGGUUUUAGAGGAUGAUCAGCAACACUGGGACUGAGACACGGCCCAGACUCCUACGGGAGGCAGCAGUGGGGAAUCUUAGACAAUGGGGGCAACCCUGAUCUAGCCAUGCCGCGUGAGUGAUGAAAGCCUUAGGGUCGUAAAGCUCUUUCGCCUGUGAUGAUAAUGACAGUAGCAGGUAAAGAAACCCCGGCUAACUCCGUGCCAGCAGCCGCGGUAAUAC